UACGUAGGGCGCAAGCGUUGUUCGGAUUUAUUGGGCGUAAAGGGUGCGUAGGCGGCGCGGUAAGUCGGGUGUGAAAUCUUGGAGCUUAACUCCGAAACUGCAUUCGAUACUGCCGUGCUUGAGGACUGGAGAGGAGACUGGAAUUUACGGUGUAGCGGUGAAAUGCGUAGAUAUCGUAAGGAAGACCAGUGGCGAAGGCGGGUCUCUGGACAGUUCCUGACGCUGAGGCACGAAGGUCAGGGGAGCAAACGGG
rnacentral:rRNA from 1 species